CACGUAGGGGGCGAGCGUUAUCCGGAUUCAUUGGGCGUAAAGCGCGCGCAGGCGGACCGUUAAGCGGGACCUCUAAUCCCGGGGCUCAACCCCGGGCCGGGUCCCGAACUGGCGGUCUCGGGUGCGGUAGGGGAGGUCGGAAUUCCCGGUGUAGCGGUGGAAUGCGCAGAUAUCGGGAGGAACACCGACGGCGAAGGCAGGCCUCUGGGCCGCCACCGACGCUGAGGCGCGAAAGCCGGGGGAGCGAACA
rnacentral:rRNA from 1 species